UAAGACUAAAGGUUCGGUCACGUUUACCGUAUUUCUCUAAAUUUUCGCUGGCAAAAUCCAGUCACGGUCGGGAAUUUCUCAACGGAGUUAUUUACGCUGAUUCGACGCGGUGAAAAACGGAAAUCUGACUGAUUUGAUGAGGCAAACAAGGUUUCUGAAGAAAUUCACCACUCACCUUCAGGUUGGCCAUCAUCUGUCAGGAAAAAAAGAAAAACAGCUCAAUGAAGUUAAUUUAUUUUAGGAAGAUCAUCUGAGACCAAGUUGAACUUGGGCCAUCGUGAACUCCAUUAGGUCUCCUGACCUCCUCCAAACAACAAAACCUUCCUCUGGGUUAUUAUGUGAUGUAAAUGUCAGGAGCUUUGUCUCAGCGACCCGCCCCUGUUCUUUUGGCAUGGGCUGCUGUGAAUUCUGUGAGGAUGCCAUCCUAGACUGAUCAUGGCACAAAAGGAUCCCUGUGAAGCACUCCGAGAACGACUGUUCCAUUCCUGCCCCCUGCUGUCAGGAGCCAAUGUGAACACGUGUCAUGUCUUUUGGACACCUUAGCUCAGAUUUGGCAAUGACGUGGGUCCUUCCACCCAUUAAAGAGCCAUUUAUGUCACCGUUAAGCUAGCUGGUGUGGCAUUCUGCCCGUUUCGAGAUCCUCACUGGCUCAUCCAGCAAUAACGACAAUUCUGAAAGGCGGUGGAAGCUGAUCUCUAUAUCAUCACCCCUGAAAUAUUUGUCCAUCUGGAGGCGUAGCAUCCCCACCGGGCCAUCGCCAUUGCAUCAUCCAUCAGAGAUGCCACUGGCACUGCAGUAAAGCUGGGCUCUAGGACUUGAAACCCAGCGCUGGUUUUUCCAUCAGACUACGAGUUCUGUGGUUCAUUCUCACCUUUCUUUGUGGGCUCAGGCAUGUUGAGCCGUUCUCCGGUGGACCGGGCACCAGUUGGAGGGGUUCAGGGGUGAGUCUGGGCUGCCCAGUGUGUGUG